GUUGCUUUCAGAUGCCCAAUCCUCUUGGAAACCCAUCGGGAAGAGGAUUAGGUCCAACUGAGCUUCACGCCUGCUCUCUCCUUGUGAGUAUAACAUGAGAAGGGGAACAUGUUGAGGGGGUCUGUCUCAUUCCCAGUGCCUCAUUUGGAAAUGGGACGGGAUUGGAGGCUACAACUAUAGCUUUAUCAGUGCCUCAGAUAUUGGGGAAGCUCCAUUCUGUUUGCUUUGUGACAAGCUGUGGGAGACAAUUCUAGGCAGAGAAUUCUUGUAUCUCUUGUGUUGUCUACCACAAUCUUAAUGUUCACAAAUGUCAUGCAGUUUCCCUCAGUGCAAAGAUUCUGUCAGGAAGCAGGCAAAAGGGUAUUUUCUUUUUAAAAGGAAAAUUUAUUAGAAAACAACAGACAGGGAGCAGCCUAGUUUUGCCAGUUUAGCAAUAGCUGUAGUUCCUGUUCUUGUAUCUACACAGCGGCUGCAAAGUGUGUUCUGGAAGCUCUUCUUCAAUCACAAUGCAUUUUCCUGCUCAUCAUCUGCUCAAAUGGGGGAAAGGACUGUUUGCAAAGAGAAGCCCAUGCAUGCUGUCUCUUAAACAGAAGGGGCAGGGAGUGGCUGCUAAUUUGAGGGUAAAUUCCCCCAUUCCUCAAUUUUUUAAUCAAUAGUUUUAUUGCAAACUUUGAAGAAGUGUAGAAAUGAAAGCAUAACACUCAUUUCAUCCAUGUAUUUGACCUGGAAGUGUUGUGUUAGUUUGCUUUAAAUGUGGACCCUACAAAAUCUACUAUCACUAUGAUUCUAUGAUUGCUCUUCAAAUACUGUGUACAAUUCUGGCUAUCACAUCUGAAAAAUGACUUUGCAGAUGUGGAAAAGAUGCAGUAACUGGAACUGGGAACUGGAGCAAGUAGUCUACAAGGAAGGGUUGCAAUGCUUGAUGCUUUUUGUUAAGGAAAGUGAUGAGUAGAGAGGGAUGGGGGCACAUGAUAGAGGUGUAUACAAUUAUACAUAUGUGGGGGUGGGGGAGUGGAGAGAGAAUGAAUUUUCCACUUGUCUUACCGGAACCUGGAGUCAUCCAGGGGGUUGGACCGGAUGACCCUUGGUGUCUCUUCUAAAUCUACAAUUCUAUAAUUCUGUGGCGCUGGAUGGCAAAAGGAAAGGCAAAAGGAAGUACUUCCUCAUACAGCACCAAGGUAAACGGGGGGGGGGGGGAUUUACUACCAUAACUUUCAUGGCUUUAAAAGGGGAUUAAAUUCAUGGAAGAUAAUGCUAUCAAUAGCAUCUGUUAGCUCAUUUGGUUAGAGCAUGGUGCUGAUAAAAUGCCAAGGUUGUGGGUUUGGUUCCCAUAUGAGCCACCUGCAUAUUCCUGCAUUGAAGGGGGUUCAAGGCUUUUAUUCAGCCAGGAACUUGCCAGAACUCAUUUCCAGCAUCUCUCAGCUCAGCACCAUUGCAAUUUUAAGAGAAAAAGAAAGGUGUUCAUGGUGAAUUCCAGCACCUCUUUUUCUAGAAAAAUAGCAUUCGUUGGACUAGAUUCAUUCCAGCUCUGAUUUAUAAUAAUGAGUCAUAAUAGCUCUAUGCUGUUUCCAAGAUCAUAGGCAGUGUCCCUGAAUACAGUAGCAGGCAUCUGAUUGGCUAUUGUGGGAAGCAAUAUGCAGGGUGAGAAAGGCCUUUGGUCUGAUCCAGCAGGGCUCGUAUACAGUGGAUAUGCACGCUAUGUAAAUCCUGCAUGGAACAGAUUGCUGCUGAAAAUCUAUUCAAAGUCAGAAAAAUUGCAACAACUUGGGUGUUUUUUUAAAAAAAAGGACAGGAUGACACUGUAGAAAACACUGGAAUGCAGUAGUUUGUCUCCCUGAUAAAUGAGUGAAUUGCUCUUCUCAAUUCCAGACUAAACAGCUGGUGUGGAAACAACCCUUAAAGGGGAAUUCUUAUGCCUGUUCAUGGAAAUGGUACAAACAAGUUAUUAACAUUAUCCACAGGGCCUUGAUGCCCCCACCUCCCACCACCUCAGCUGCAGCAGUGUGGUAGACACACUGCUGUUAGCAAUGUAAUGAUCAAACAUUGCUGGUGCUGUUAAUGAUUACCUAGCUUUGCAAUCAUUACAUCAUUGUAGGUUGUUAGUUUUACUGGUUUUUAGUUCAAUGAAACUUGAGGAAUAACAAGUAAAGUUUCACCCAGGUCUUUACCUGCAGUUGCAUUCUGCCCCAGUUCCUCGUGCAUCAAAAAAGGUUGUUGUUUACUUUUAACUGGCUGAAUGAAUGUAUUUGUCAAGAACAAAAGUCAUAACAAAGCAUCAUAAACUAAAUACAUAGCAAUCAGUGCAUCAUAAAAGGCAGACGAGAACAUGUUUCAAUCCACAUUUAUUGAUGUGCACUUGCUUAGCACAGGUAAAAGAAGCAGCAAAAUCAAAAACAUUCUUAUCCUUAUUGUAGAGGCAAAAAUCCAGCCUUUUGGAGUUCCUUGUUAAUUGUGCUGCUUGAAAGGGGAGAGAACGCCUUGGUUAUAUAUUCUUCCAAAGCAGUAGCCAUGUUGCAGCAAAACCAAUAGAGUCCUGUGCAGCAACUUAAAGUCUAACAACUUUAUAGAUGCAUAAUUUGGGGAUGCAAAUUCAAAUGCAAUUAUAUCUCUCCACUGAGAAUAUUGAGCUGGUAUAAGAAGGUCUUGAUUUUGGUCAUUAACAUAGUUAAAGAAAGGGGUCCACAUUUCUUGGAAGGUGUCACUAUUUGUUAUGCCUUUAAUUGCCCUCCUGUGUCUGGUGAGACACUCAGACAUUGCUAUAUCCCUUAUAUUAUUUUCUCAUAUGUUCAGGGGGGUUAUGUUCUGGUUCUUCCAUUGCUGAGCUAUUGCUAAUCAUGGUGCAGUCAGUAAGAGCUCUACUAAUUGGCUGUGGUGCAGGGUGGAGCCUAAGUCUAAGUCCAAAGACAGUAGGACUAAGACAGGAUUUGGAGAAAAGGGAUUGGCCUGUAAUUGCAGAUAUAAUGGAGAAUACACUAUUCCAAAAGUUGUUAAUAUGAGGACAUUCCCACCAAACAUGAAUAAAUUAGCCAAGCUUUCCACAGCCCUUCCAAUAUAAAGGGGAAAGGGAGGGAUUAAUUUUUGCCAUCCUAACUGGCAUCCAGUGCCAUCAGAGAACGACCUUGAGCAAGGCCUCCUGUAAGCGAGCAGAGAUGGUUUUGAGUGGGAUAGUGGUCCUGAUACCCUCCCAUUUGUGAUCUUCAACUGGGUGACCUAAGUCUGAUUCCCAUACAGUUUGAAGGCCUCUAGCAUCCCCCACUUUGUGAUCUAAUAUUUGGGAAACCACCCUUCAGGUCAUCCUGCUUCAUAAGGAUUCAUACAAAGCAAGUAUGCUAGGCUGUCUCCCCUGCACUCCAAAGAGGGUGCAAAAGAAUGAGCCUGGGCUACCUGAAACCAGGUAAUAUGAGUGCCUUUUAAUUUUCCUUGCAGUUCCUCUUUGGAAAUUGCUUUCCCUCUGGGAAGCAGGUCACGGAUUGUAGAAAUGCUUAUGUCCUUCAAAUCCUUGAACUGUUAAUAUUUAUCUGUGUGUCUGAAAGCUGAAUGAUCCAGGAUCAGUGGUUCAGGGUCUGGGGCCAGUGUUCUGCUCCAUGUUCUCCACACAUAAGUACAGUACUGAUCUACAGUACUAAAUGGAUUGUCUAUUUUCCUUUACCGCCUUCAAGGACAAAGGUAAGAAAGGCCGGGCUCCCAUUAAGGUGUGGAAGAGACCAUCUUGAGUUGAACCCCAGGGCUCCCCCUGAGCAAUCGGAUCAAGGAUUUAAUGCUAUAUUUCAACAUCUUUUUUAAUGUUAAGUUAGGCAUUCUCAUUCCUCCUUUUGUUCUAUGUAGAGAGUUUUGUUGCUUCUCCUAGAUUUGUUGCCUCCUGACACAAAUGCAUUGAGUUUGUUUUGCCAUCUCUUUAGCUGAAAGGAUAGGCAAAACUUGAAGGAGAAAAAAAGAACUUAGGUAACACUGACAUUUUGACCACGGCUAUUCGCUCAAGCCAGCUAAGACUGAGAUGCUUCUGUUUCCUAAGUUCUUGUUGAAUGCCUUUAUACAGCCCCUAUAUGUUGUCUUGUGUCUGUGGUGUUGAGGUUAAUACCUAAGUACUUAAAUCCUCCAUGCACUAUGAGAUAUGCAUAUAUUCUACAUGAACAAUGGAGAAGAAAUCAAUGAAGAAACAGCUAUAAGUAAUAUUGUAUGUCUAGUAAUUGCCUUCUAAAGUGACAGAUCAUUUUAUGACAGAGCACUUGCUUUUCCUACUAUCAAAGCUAAUGUUUUAUCACUUUUAAAAUGGCAUUGUUUCCAUUUCUUAUGCAUGGUACCCACAGACAAUUUAACAUGUUUUGUUUAUAUUUGGGUGCCUUACAUUUUUUUUAUAGGGAUAAAAAUAAAUACAUCUGCUUUGCUGCAUCAUGGACUUUCUCUGUAAACUUAAAAUUCCUUCAUUGUUGGUUUGAGACUGUCUUGGAAUAUUUAAUUGCUCUCCUAUGCUUUCCAGUAUAUUUUCUCAUCAGUUUCCUUAUCACAAAAGGUUGGGAGGGGGGAGCAAGUUUGUUGCAGAAGAGCACUGAAUCAGCAUUAAUUGUGCGACCUGCAUUUGCCAGGAUGUGAUUGGAUCUCACCCCAAAAUAGUGACUGUCUGGAAGCAUUCUCAGUUUCUUACACAGAAUUUUUUAAUGCAGUUUAAAAGGAUUUGCUACUCACAGUCUGGCCAUUUGUUCCAUAUACUGUACCUUUAGUAAACAGGCUUUACAUGUUUUUAUUCUUUUUCAAUAACUUUAUUGACUUGAGUAACAAAAGAACAAUGGAUGAGAAGCAAAACCUUUCUGAAACCAAUUUCAAUUCUCUUUAAACCUGUUUUCUGUCUUUUUAUUCCCCUCCUAUAAGGAGUCAAUUAAAAUGACUGAUUUAGAGUUUGCAUUAUGUGUGCCAGCAGUGGCUACAACGAGCAAAGCCUGGAAAAGAUAAAUCAUCCCAAAGAUUUAUGACUGACUAGUUCCUUAGAAUUUGAGUUAACGUUAAAUGUUAACUUGCUAUGUUCAUUUAAGGGAGUGUGGACAAUGUCGGCUCCAUGUGUGCUUCUGCCUAGAUCUCCUGAGCCAGCCACGUUCUCUUUGCUUCCUUUUUCCUACACAGGGGAGAGAGACGCACGGCUGCAUGAAGCACUCAGAAAGAUCACAGGGGGAAUCAGAAAGGUUUCCUUCUGAUCAUCCAGUUUGAGGGUACGCAAUGAGGAGCCAGCACUGUUCUUACCCACUUCAUUUACAGCCUCUCAGACCUCCAUACUGAACUUUUAAACUUGCUUCCGGUGAAGAGGCUGUAAAUGUUUUGGACUCUGCCUGGGAUGGGGAGAUACAGUAGGACUGCCACCCUGUUCAAAGCAGCACACUCAGUGAAGGGGUAGGAUGUUUGUUUUUCAGUCAUUAGGUGGGAAUAGGAAUUAUUGCAACACACAGCCUCCUAGAGUGAUAUUGGCCAGAAUGACAACUAUUCAGAAUGGUUCUGGCAGUUUAAGUAUUAAGCAAUAGUUGAGACAGCAGAUGGCUGGAGCCUGAGAAGGCAAAAGAAAAAGAUCCUACCCCCCACCCCCCAACACCAGUUGGAUGCUAAUAUGCUUGGGACAAUCUCAUUCAAUUGGAGUGAUGAGAUGUGGGCUCUUUCCACAGAAGUCACACAGUGAUAUGUAGCAUUUAUAGAGUGCUUCUGAGCACUUUAUUAUCCCCAACCACCUUGUCAAGGGGAGGGGUCAUGUAUUAUUUCCCCUCUUUUGUGGGGUGGGUCUGAGGUUCAGAGAGAACUGUGUGCCUACACCAGAUGUGUUCACAGCUGAGGUGACAUUUGAUCCAGGACUUCCCUGCUAACAUCUCACACCAUUAACUGUUGUUCUGCUCAGCUCUAUUCAAACCAAUAGUCUGCCCCAUUGCUCAUGGUAUGUCCAGUUAUUUGUCUGUCUGAGAUUCUCACUUUGUGUGCUUGAACAGCUAGAACGGGGGCCAAAUUAUGUUACAUUAGGAGGAUGUUUAAACACUUGCUUAGGAUUGGGCAUGUCUCCUUAUUAACAAAAAGUAGUUGCAGGGUACCUUAAUCUGGACCAGGACUGCUGUAUGAUGAGAGAAGAAUUAACUCCUUCUUUUUGUGCCAUUUUCCUGCUGAAAAAUCUCCCAGUUAAGAAAGCAACGUGCCCAGUCCUAAGCAUGUGAUUUAAAACUCUUGAGCAAUGUAAUGAACAGUUUGGUCCUGACUGGAAGAAUAUGUUCUUUUCUAGCAUUUGAGUUCCUGUGUGUACUCACUGAAAUGGCCUGAGCAGGGUGGACCUGUUUGGAAACUGUUGAUCAAAUGAAUUUUCCCAAAUAGGCAAAUUUGACUAAGACCGAGAGGCCAUUUUGGUGGGAUCACUUUCUUUUUUUAUUGUUAUUUCAAAGCAGUUUCAGAGUCCCCAAAUAAAACAGAAAAUUGUGCCAGUGUGUGUGCAUUUAUAUUUUGAAUCUGCACCAUGUCCCCAGUUUAAAUAUCCUCCUCCCAAAAAGGUGAUAUUUAAGGGGAUGCAUAUGGCCUUAUAAGUUCAAAAACUGAAUUUAAUAUUUUUAAACUAGAUAUAUUUUAAAUUAGUUAUGCCUUAUGCUGAACCUACUCUGUGCCUGCCCAAAGAAGUCAGAUAAUGUUGAAAAUGAUUUAUGAGUGUGAGCUGUUGUUUUGUUGAUUGUGCAUAGUUGAAAUGAUACCAGAACAAAAAUUACCAAAACAAACAUAAAUGAAAACCAGAUCAUUUUUGUGUUUCAAUAAAAUUAGUGUAUACUGAAUGGCUAAUAUAUAACAGCCGCACAAUCCUGAAAUCUGUGAAUUAAAAUCCCAACUGUAAUCUGCAGAAAUGGAGAAGACCUCUUUUGAGAGAAUCAAUAUUUCAUUUUCUUCAGGAAUGCAACAAAAUACGUUGUGACUGAAUCCAGUUGAAAACCAUGGGUCCUGGGUUAAUCAUAACUACAUUUAUUUUGAUUGGGGCUAUAAUGGCAAGCUGUUGCAUUUGUAAGGGCACAAUUAGUUCUUCUUAAGGUGUAUAUAGCAACUAUAUAGCAACUGGAAAUAAUGAUAUUUCCAAAUGUCAGAUACGAAAUGGGAAGACUAAGAGUAGAUCCAGGAAAUGAUUUUAUCACACCUUACUGCUGGGCAGAAUAAAUAGAGAUAUCCUGGUCUACCAAGUGGCUACUUGCACAUCACAGUAAGCUACCAUUUGGUAAAUGGCAAUCUGAAUCCAUUCUAAAGAGUGACUAACCGUGUAAUCUCUAAGCUGUAAAUCCUGUCCAAGAGACGCUUCCAAUCAUCCAAUAGAUUUCAUCUCCUUGUUACACCUAAACAUGCUGGUUUAAAGUGAUUUUAUUUGCAAUAUUCAUUAUUAUUCCAAGGGGAAGCAUUUCAUUUCAACAGCAGUCUUCUUUCUAGGAUAGAUAUGUAACUAAACUGGAUGACAUUCUUAAUUUUUCUCUGUUGCAAGUCUAAGACAAUUAUCCAUAGAAAUUGUUGUCCUUCCAUAAGGAAAAUGCAAUUUGUCUUCCACAAUAAAACACCUCCAAAAUGUACAGUGAAAGGGAGCAGCACUGCAUGGACAUAACUCUUUCUUUCUUUAGUCUGCUCAGGCCAAUCAUAACAGAUUUAUUAGGGUCUUCAGCAGCACAGGUCAAGGAUUCAUGGAAUUGUUGCAAAACUAGGGGCACGGGGUCUCUAGAGUGACGCACACAAGGCUAUCGUGCAGUUCAUCAAGGCUUUUGAAGCCUCUUGUUAGCAAACAAUAUUUGUUCUUUGGUGGACUUAUACAGCACACACAUUGAAAUAUGAAGCCAGCAGAACCUCAUCUGUUUCAACCUGGUGCCACAAAAUUGAUCCAACCUGAGAAAAAGAACAACCCAUCUGUGUCUCAAGCUGGCAAUGUGCACCCAGCCAGCUUUAGCUAGAUAGCUUUAAUUUAAAUGGAUUUUAAAGGUAGACAAAUUAUAUGAAAGUAGUUAUUAUUAUAUAGUUACACACAUAGAGUUGAAAUUGAAAUUAUUUUUGGAAGCCAAACGUCCAACAGGGCUUCCGGGGCUUCCAAUUGGCUGCAGGAGCUUCCUGCAGCCAAUCAGAAGCUGCACUUUUGUUUCCGAACAUUUUGGAAGUCAAACGGACUUCUAGAACGUAUUCCAUUUGACUUCCAAGGUACAACUGUAUUAUCAUUGGCCACUGUAGAACCUUCCAGAACUACUUCAAUCAAGUCUUGGUGGUAUUUGAGGUAUGCUUGGGAUCAUUGUCCUGUUGGAAGGUCCAAUGACUCCAGUCUUCAGCUUUCUCACAGAUGGUGUGAUGUUUCCUCCUAGGCUUUUCCGAUUCUUCAAUGAAUCCUGCCUGCCUUCCUCAUGCUGCAAGUUUCCAGUACCAGAGGAUGCAAAGCAGCCCCAGAGCAUCACCGAGCCACCACCAUGCUUCACUGUAGGUGGAGUGUUCUCUUCAGCAUAUGCUUCAUUCUUCUUCCUGCAGACAUAGUGCUGAUCCAUGAGACCAAAAAAUUCCAAUUUUGUAUCAUUGCUCCACAGAACAGAAUCCCAAACUUCUGUGGCUUAUUUAUUUGAGCAUAUUGGAGCCAACUUUUCUUGUACUUUGGGGUCAGUACAUCUUGGAGUUCUUGCAUGGAAACCUUCUGCAUUUAGUAUGCGCCUUACUGCGCUCACUGAAACCUCAGUGUCUGCUGCCACCAAGUCUUGCUGCAGCUCUUUUGGAGCCACUUGAGGGGUUUUCCCAGCCUGUCUUCUCUGAAAUCAGGUUUCUGCCUCAAGUGUCAGGCUGCUGCCAGCAACUCCCCUGGCUGGUUGCCCUGGAACGUACAAAGACAAGGAAUGUUCUUACCAUCCACAGUAUUUACAGAGAGAGGCUUCUUGGAUAAUGGCAUUGUCCCAAGUGAAUCUCCACCCCUGUUUCUCCCACUUCCUCAUUUGUCAUCCUUUCUAUGGGUGCUGACAAGUGCCCUCUGUCUUUGAGAUCUUUGCUCUCCCACUUUCAAGGCUUACCGGGAUUUGGCGGUGGGACUGGAGUGCUUUCUGAAGACACUGUGUCCGUCAGCUGUCGCCACCCUGGUGCUUCCUCUUCCUCCUCCUCUCCCAUUAUUUCCCAACUUUUCCCUUCAUCUGCCUCUGAGCUGUGACCUCCCUCAACCCAAACCCCUGCUGUAAUUCUAAACUGUCUUCCUCUUCUCUGGAAGGGUCAGGUUGGGGAGGUGGUCUCCACCAUUCCUCCUCUGCCCAGUCCCUGACAUGCAGAUAGCUUCCUUUUUCUGCCCCAUUCAGGUAGUGUAAUCACUGUUCUUUUAACUUUGUACUUGUGAACUAUGCUUCCAACAGUGUCCCUAGGAACAUCCAGUGCCUUCACUAUCUUCUUGUAUCCUGCUCCUUGUUUGUGAAGGGCAAUGAUCUCUUCUCUUACCUUCUUAGACCGUUCUCUUGACGUAGCCAUAUUUCUAACAUGCAGCCAAAUUUGACACUCAGCAAACCCCUAGUCAGUUCAGGUAUUUCAUGUGUUCCAGCUCAAGCACACCUGGUGCAACUAAUGAAGCCCUUGAUUACUUGCACCAGGUGUUCUUGAGACAGCACCUGUUGUAUUUGUGCUGUUGUGAGGGAUUCUAUUCAGGGGGUUGGAUAAUAGUGAGACUGGAGAAGCCAGUAUAAGUUGCAUUGUCAGCUGAAUUUGGGUGAAACCACUUGAAAUAUUGAGGUAUUUCAAGUGAUUUUGCUUGAUUUGCUCAUUGUAAAUAGCUGAGACCUGUGGGUAUAUAGGUAAAGGUAAAGGGACCCCUGACCAUUAGGUCCAGUCAUGACCAACUCGGGGUUGCGGCGCUCAUCUCGCUUUAUUGGCCAAGGGAGCCGGUGUACAGCUUCUGGGUCAUGUGGCCAGCAUGACCAAGCCGCUUCUGGCAAACCAGAGCAGCGCAUGGAAACGCCGUUUACCUUCCCGCUGGAGCGGUACCUAUUUAUCUACUUGCACUUUGAUGUGCUUUCGAACUGCUAGGUUGGCAGGAGCAGGGACCGAGAAAUGGGAGCUCACCCCGUCGCGGGGAUUCGAACCUCCAACCUUCUGAUCGGCAAGUCCUAGGCUCUGUGGUUUAACCGACAGCGCCACCCGUGUCUAUGGUGGUAUAUAAAUUCAAAUAAUAAUAAAUAACAAGUCUGUAAAUAUUGAUAAUAAACAUUUGCAAUGGGGAUUGAAUAAUUUUGAUUUCAACUGUAUACAGAGAGUCUUACUGACAGUAUCAGCAAGGAGUCAAUCAAAUGUAUAUUAAAGUAAAUACAAAAGGGGGAAAAAGACUAUUUUUUCCCUUUUUUGCUUCAAAGGGAUCUGUAUCAGCCCUCAAAACAAACCUGCCUUCAGCACAAGAAAAAACUGAAAGUCGGCAGUCAGCAAUCUGUUUCCACAAAGAAUGUGCUUUUACAGCAAGACCACCAACAGUGAACAUGAGCCACAGACCAAGCCACAGGCUCCUAGAGGAAACCAAGUAAUUGGGAUUGAAUCUCUAAUACAACUCAACAGACUAAAGUCCCAUGUUGCGAGAAUCAUAGCAAUGGCUUUUCCUGACUAUUUAGCCAAUAUUAAAGAAUGUAAUUGAGCAAGCUAAGUUGAAUG